rnacentral:rRNA from 1 species
CCUACGGGUGGCAGCAGUGGGGAAUAUUGGGCAAUGGGCGCAAGCCUGACCCAGCAACGCCGCGUGAAGGAAGAAGGCUCUCGGGUUGUAAACUUCUUUUAUCAGGGACGAAGCAAGUGACGGUACCUGAUGAAUAAGCCACGGCUAACUACGUGCCAGCAGCCGCGGUAAUACGUAGGUGGCAAGCGUUAUCCGGAUUUACUGGGUGUAAAGGGCGUGUAGGCGGGAAAGCAAGUCAGAUGUGAAAACCAUGGGCUCAACCUGUGGCCUGCAUUUGAAACUGUUUUUCUUGAGUACUGGAGAGGCAGACGGAAUUCCUAGUGUAGCGGUGAAAUGCGUAGAUAUUAGGAGGAACACCAGUGGCGAAGGCGGCCUGCCAAGCCAUGACUGACGCUGAUGCACGAAAGCGUGGGGAUCAAACAGGAUUAGAUACCCUUGUAGUC